AGUCGGGUAGCUCAGCGGGAGAGCAUCGGUCUUACAAACCGAGGGUCGUCGGUUCAAACCCGACUCCGACUA
rnacentral:tRNA from 2 species